GCCUCCCUCCGCGCCCAUCAGACUCCUACGGGAGGCAGCAUGGGGAAUCUUGCACAAUGGACGAAAGCUGAUGCAGCAACGCCGCUGGGGAUGAAGCUUUCGGAGUGAAACCCUUUGACCCGGAAGAAUGCCCGCAAGGGUUUGACGGUACGGGUAUAAGAAGCCCCGGCUAACUACGUGCCAGCAGCCGCGGUAAUAC
rnacentral:rRNA from 1 species